UUCCUAAUAGCUCAACUGGUUAGAGCGAGUGACUGUUAAUCACUAGGUUAUUGGUUCGAGUCCAAUUUAGGAAG
rnacentral:tRNA from 1 species